rnacentral:rRNA from 1 species
AUGGCUACACACCCCAUCAAGGUGUUGGUGUGGAAUGUCCGUGGUCUCAACGACCCGGCACGGAGAAGUGCGAUAUACAAAGUGGUCUCGGUGGCCAAUCCUAGCAUAGUUUGUUUUCGAGAAACUAAAAUGGAACUUGUAAACCAGGGUGUGGUGGCACACUGUUUGGGAAAUAAACUAGCGAGUUUCUACUAUCUCCCGGCUUCUGGCACUCGAGGUGGCAUUCUUCUGGCCUAG